GCUAAGAGAAAUAAGAAGAAAGACAAAGGACAGAAUUUUGGAAGAGAGGACUGUAUCUUAUUAGUCAAUUGAUGGAUGUAUUACAAAUACAAUGACUCUACUAUUUAUACUACUCUAAUGACUAAGAGUAAAUAAAUGCUACAAUACAAGUCCCUAAGUUCAUGCACUCAAGACAUGACUACAUUCUAAGAAUGACUCUAUUCUAAGAAUGACUCUAACUCUUCCAAAAAGGGACUCCUACCCUUCCCUAGUCUGCCCCAACGUUCUAGAGGGCCUGCACAAGCCUCCCUAAGGCUGAAAACUGCCCCCCUCCAUCCGCUGAAUGCCUGAAACGUCUGCCCCUCCGUCUGCUGCCUGCUUGGACUGCCAGCCCCUUCGUCUGCUGACCGUUUUGGGCUGCCUGUCCCCUUGCACACGCUGCUAGCUGCCUAGAUGGGUGGCGAUCUGCCUGGAUAGAUGGCGGGACGUCAUAAUAGGCCCAACAUAGUUUAUUUCAGUGUCAGCUUUUUUUCAACGCAACAGUACAUACAACCCAAUUAAUUAGACAUUGGUGUAUAGUGAAUGAGUGAAUAGUGCUCAACUUAUGAAGGGAAUGUGAUAGUAUAUUGUAAGUAUGAAUACUAAGAGGUAAGGAUUGACUAUUUGUCAUAAGGUCCUAGUGGACGAGUGUUUCUGAAUUUGUACCCGUAGUUGGAAGUUAU
rnacentral:misc_RNA from 1 species